GUAGGCGGGUGGUUUAGGUAAAUCCGGACCGCUACUAACGCUGAGAUACGAUGUCGAGCUACUACGGUAGUGAAGUCAUUGAUGCCAUGCUUCCAGGAAAAGCCUCUAAGCUUCAGAUUGUAAGGAAUCGUACCCCAAACCGACACAGGUGGUCGGGUAGAGAAUACCAAGGCGCUUGAGAGAACUCGGGUGAAGGAACUAGGCAAAAUGGUACCGUAACUUCGGGAGAAGGUACGCUCUUAUCAGUGAAGUCCCUUGCGGAUGGAGCAGACGAGAGUCGCAGAUACCAGGUGGCUGCAACUGUUUAUUAAAAACACAGCACUGUGCAAAAUCGUAAGAUGACGUAUACGGUGUGACGCCUGCCCGGUGCCGGAAGGUUAAUUGAUGGGGUUAGACUUCGGUCGAAGCUCUUGAUCGAAGCCCCGGUAAACGGCGGCCGUAACUAUAACGGUCCUAAGGUAGCGAAAUUCCUUGUCGGGUAAGUUCCGACCUGCACGAAUGGCGUAAUGAUGGCCACGCUGUCUCCACCCGAGACUCAGUGAAAUUGAAAUCGCUGUGAAGAUGCAGUGUACCCGCGGCUAGACGGAAAGACCCCGUGAACCUUUACUACAGCUUGGCACUGAACAUUGAACCUACAUGUGUAGGAUAGGUGGGAGACUAUGAAAUUGCGUCGCUAGAUGUGAUGGAGUCGUCCUUGAAAUACCACCCUUGUAGUUUUGAUGUUCUAACGUUGGUCCCUGAAUCGGGAUUACGGACAGUGCCUGGUGGGUAGUUUGACUGGGGCGGUCUCCUCCCAAAGAGUAACGGAGGAGCACGAAGGUGGGCUAAACACGGUUGGACAUCGUGUGGUUAGUGCAAUGGCAUAAGCCCGCUUGACUGCGAGAAUGACAAUUCGAGCAGGUGCGAAAGCAGGUCAUAGUGAUCCGGUGGUUCUGAAUGGAAGGGCCAUCGCUCAACGGAUAAAAGGUACUCCGGGGAUAACAGGCUGAUACCGCCCAAGAGUUCAUAUCGACGGCGGUGUUUGGCACCUCGAUGUCGGCUCAUCACAUCCUGGGGCUGAAGUCGGUCCCAAGGGUAUGGCUGUUCGCCAUUUAAAGUGGUACGCGAGCUGGGUUUAGAACGUCGUGAGACAGUUCGGUCCCUAUCUGCCGUGGGCGUUGGAAAAUUGAAAGGGGCUGCUCCUAGUACGAGAGGACCGGAGUGGACGAACCUCUGGUGUUCGGGUUGUCAUGCCAAUGGCAUUGCCCGGUAGCUAAGUUCGGAAUCGAUACUCGCUGAAAGCAUCUAAGCGGGAAGCGAGCCUUGAGAUGAGUUUUCCCUGGCACUAUAAGUGUCCUAAAGGGUUGUCGUAGACUACGACGUUGAUAGGCAGGGUGUGUAAGUGCUGCGAGGCAUUGAGCUAACCUGUACUAAUUGCCCGUGAGGCUUAACCAUACAACACCCAAGGGGUUU
rnacentral:rRNA from 1 species